CACUCGCACAGAGGAACCAGGACUGCAUGAUUGCAGCAGCGCCUGAGGGGCUCAACAUUCCAGUAAAUUCGGAGAAACAGCUCUCCUUGUCUGUGAGCUUCUAGGCAUUGGAAUGGGCAGCGAUUUUCAAAGACUUCAGGGAGGAGGAUAGGACGCGUGCAGCCAGGCUCAGGCUGGAAGUUGUUGACUCCUGUUUGUUGGUAUUAAAAUGGGACACAAGAUCCUUCUUCACCAACCUCUUCUGUCAACAGAAGCCUAAAAGGUAGAACUGGAACCUGGAAUCAGGGACAAAUUUGAGAACUCUCCCUCCAGUAACUGUGGGAAAGUUAAUACAUAGAUAAUGGCUAUGAUCUACCAUCCAUGUCGUCUUUAUGGAUAUAACCAAACACAGGAGAGGUUUGUAUGAAAUAAAGCAGCACUGGACUGGAAGCCAAAAAGACUUGUUUCCCAUGACGCUCUACCACUCAGUCACUGCAUUCAGAUUCUUCAUCUAAGACAUCUUGAUCAACCUCAAGUGCAGAGGACUCCACCUUUAGGAUCUGUCCACCUUCUGUUCCUGACACGAUCAGUGAUUCUUCAGGUUCCAAACAUAAGUUCCUAAAGGCUAUCAAAUGGACCUGGUGGAUCAUCCAGACAAAGAAAUUCUCUCACUGCAAGGCUUUCAAAGGAAAAAAAAAAAAAUUAGCUGGGAUACAAAUAAGUUUACAAAAGAGAGCAAGAUAGCAGAAAGCAAAAGUUACUCUGAAGCUAGCUAUAGUGUUUUAAGCAAGUUGGUUCUGCUGAUAAAUGAAAAUAAGCAAGAUGGCGUAUGCGUUUUCACACAAGUAACAAAAUACAAAUAUAAAAUCUAUAGAAGAUACAAAGAUUUUAGGUUAUUUCUAUGAUCUUAUGAACAUAAAAAGAUUGUGAAUUUAUGUUACAUAAAAACUACACGACAUAAAACAUAAAUCAGAAAUGGUACAGGAAAUCAACGUAAAUGGUGAAAAGACAGUAUUAUUUUCAAAGAAAUAUUAAUUUGAACUAGUCUAAAAACGUCAUUAUCUUUUUAUGAAGAAAUACAAUUUCUACUUCAUACUUCAUUUGUUUCUUCUUCAGGAGAUGAUUCUAAAGUAACUAAAGUAUUUACUAUGAAACAAGUUAAAGAUUUUUCUUACAAUCAUGUUUAUUAUAUUAAUUCACUUAAAUGUUUUCCCUAGAGAAUUCAAGAGAAAGAAUUCUGAUCCUCCCAUUUCUGAAUUACCAUAAAGUUCAAAAUAAUGAAAUAAUAUGAUAUUGUUAUACUCAUACUUUUCAAUUACCAGAAACAGGUUAAGAAGGUAGAAACCUGAACUUCCUUGUUACAAAAUACUCCUCUUUCUAAAAAGUAAUCUUGGAUUGAGGGACAGCUCUAUAUGUAUGUUAAAACAAAAAUGUGGAGACUUAAAGGAUGAUGAUGAAGGGGGUGGUGAUAAAGAGAUAAAUGGGAUCUUUAGUAAAAUCAUUCCAAAGGAAAAAAUGAAAUAGAGAUGUGGUGUUAAGAAAGUAAUCCAGAAGAUCCCAAAAAUAGAAAAAAGAGGAGCAAGUUUCUGGAUUAUAAAAUCUUGAUAAUAUAGAUAAUAAAAAAACAUACACUCAGGGAAACUGAGAUAAAACUUGAGUAUUCAUAAUCAUGAAAUAACAGAGAUGGAAGGGAUCGUAAAUGUGAUCUAGUUGAACUACCCAUAGUAUGCUGCUUAUAUUAUCCCUUUUAUAUGUUCAGCCAAGACUAUGUCUAAACAUCUCCAGAAAUAGGGACUACAACUGUGUCUUAAAAUGAACCAUCAAAAUAAACCACCCUAAGUUUGAAUAACACAGAAAACUAGAAAAUUAUUUCUUCACUGAGCUGGAUUUUUCUCCCUGAAGCUUCUAUUCAUGAGUCUUAGUUUGGCUCUCUGGGGCCCUUCCAGGUAAGUCUAAGUCUUCUUUCACAUGAUAACCCUAAAAAUAUGUCAAGAAUGUUAUGUUUACUCUAACCUUAUACCUCUAGCAAGCAAUACUAACACACUAACAUUUCCUUUUCUUUUUUCAUGUAGCAAAAUUUAGUGAGUACUUAAAGCCUAUAUGGUCUUCUGCAUUCAUGGAGCCAACAUUUUUUCCAGUUUUACUGAAAUAUAACUGACAAUUAAAAAUUAUAUAUAUUUAAGUUAUAUAACUUGGCUCGAUAUAUACAUACAUUAUGAAAUAUGAAGUACAAUCAAACCACUUAACAUAUCUAUCACCUCACAUGGUUACCAUUUCUAACAUUUUCAAAGUACAUUACACACACAGGGUUUUCACAUACCCUGCUUUAUUCAAUUUACACAACAAUCAUGUGAGGUGAGGAUAGGCAUUAUACCUCCAUUGUACAAGUGAUAAUAAAGUUCAGAGAGGUAAAAUGACCCACCCAAGGUCAUUAGUGCAAGUGGUAGAGCUAGACCUUAAAUCUGUCUUCUGAGUAUAAAUAUGUGCCUUUUUCUACCUUUAAACUCUUUUCUCUUAUGUUUUGGUUCAUUUGGAUUCUUUCCCCUUGCUGAUCACUUCUUUCUGACCACAUUCAAUUUCUCUGUAUCUUUCUUUAAUCAAAGUCUCUAGAAUACUGCAGUUGGUCUAACAGUAUAGAGAAGAACAGGACCACCACACGUUCUUUUGGUUUAGAUAUUAUACUUUCUAUCCACCCACUAUGUAUAUCGGAAAACUAUUAGGCAGAAUGAGGCACAAGAAAUAAACUGAUCUUGGGAUUGACAGGCCAAAAGUUUGGAUGGGGGCUUCCUUGGUGGCGCAGUGGUUGAGAGUCCGCCUGCCGAUGCAGGGGACACGGGUUCGU